ACCGUAGACAAGGUCGACUCGGGUCAAAGGUAUAGUAUCUGUUUUUAGCAGCUUAAUAACUGGUACGGGUUGUAUUUGGACCCAAGAUAUUAAACUUAUUUUUGCAAGUUGGCGGAGUGCUUGCAUCCUGCUUCACCUUCACCGCGAGUCGGCCCGAUAUUGCACAAUCGUCGGGAGUUUUCGUCUACGGACAU